rnacentral:rRNA from 1 species
CAGGCUUAACACAUGCAAGUCGAGGGGCAGCAGGAUCUAGCAAUAGAUUGCUGGCGACCGGCGCACGGGUGAGUAACACGUAUCCAACCUGCCGAUAACUCGGGGAUAGCCUUUCGAAAGAAAGAUUAAUACCCGAUAGUAUAAUCAGACCGCAUGGUUUGAUUAUUAAAGAAUUUCGGUUAUCGAUGGGGAUGCGUUCCAUUAGGCAGUUGGUGAGGUAACGGCUCACCAAACCUUCGAUGGAUAGGGGUUCUGAGAGGAAGGUCCCCCACAUUGGAACUGAGACACGGUCCAAACUCCUACGGGAGGCAGCAGUGAGGAAUAUUGGUCAAUGGACGCGAGUCUGAACCAGCCAAGUAGCGUGAAGGAUGACUGCCCUAUGGGUUGUAAACUUCUUUUAUAUGGGAAUAAAGUUUUCCACGUGUGGAAUUUUGUAUGUACCAUAUGAAUAAGGAUCGGCUAACUCCGUGCCAGCAGCCGCGGUAAUACGGAGGAUCCGAGCGUUAUCCGGAUUUAUUGGGUUUAAAGGGAGCGUAGGUGGACAGUUAAGUCAGUUGUGAAAGUUUGCGGCUCAACCGUAAAAUUGCAGUUGAUACUGGCUGUCUUGAGUACAGUAGAGGUGGGCGGAAUUCGUGGUGUAGCGGUGAAAUGCUUAGAUAUCACGAAGAACUCCGAUUGCGAAGGCAGCUCACUGGACUGCAACUGACACUGAUGCUCGAAAGUGUGGGUAUCAAACAGGAUUAGAUACCCUGGUAGUCCACACAGUAAACGAUGAAUACUCGCUGUUUGCGAUAUACAGUAAGCGGCCAAGCGAAAGCAUUAAGUAUUCCACCUGGGGAGUACGCCGGCAACGGUGAAACUCAAAGGAAUUGACGGGGGCCCGCACAAGCGGAGGAACAUGUGGUUUAAUUCGAUGAUACGCGAGGAACCUUACCCGGGCUUAAAUUGCAUUUGAAUAUAUUGGAAACAGUAUAGCCGUAAGGCAAAUGUGAAGGUGCUGCAUGGUUGUCGUCAGCUCGUGCCGUGAGGUGUCGGCUUAAGUGCCAUAACGAGCGCAACCCUUAUCUUUAGUUACUAACAGGUCAUGCUGAGGACUCUAGAGAGACUGCCGUCGUAAGAUGUGAGGAAGGUGGGGAUGACGUCAAAUCAGCACGGCCCUUACGUCCGGGGCUACACACGUGUUACAAUGGGGGGUACAGAAGGCAGCUACCUGGUGACAGGAUGCUAAUCCCAAAAGCCUCUCUCAGUUCGGAUCGAAGUCUGCAACCCGACUUCGUGAAGCUGGAUUCGCUAGUAAUCGCGCAUCAGCCAUGGCGCGGUGAAUACGUUCCCGGGCCUUGUACACACCGCCCGUCAAGCCAUGAAAGCCGGGGGUACCUGAAGUACGUAACCGCAAGGAGCGUCCUAGGGUAAAACUGGUAAUUG